rnacentral:snRNA from 1 species
ACGAACUCUUUAAUUUUAUGUUU